UAUAUUUUAUGAUGUUUCCAUAGUUCAUCUGAUCGCCUUGAUGUACACAUGUUUGUCUUUCGCUCCUAUCUGAAAUCCA